rnacentral:rRNA from 1 species
AUUGAACGCUGGCGGAAUGCUUUACACAUGCAAGUCGAACGGCAGCACGGACUUCGGUCUGGUGGCGAGUGGCGAACGGGCGAGUAAUGUAUCGGAACGUGCCCAGUCGUGGGGGAUAACGUAGUGAAAAUUACGCUAAUACCGCAUACGAUCUAUGGAUGAAAGCGGGGGUUCGCAAGACCUCGCGCGAUUGGAGCGGCCGAUAUCAGAUUAGGUAGUUGGUGGGGUAAAGGCCCACCAAGCCAACGAUCUGUAGCUGGUCUGAGAGGACGACCAGCCACACUGGAACUGAGACACGGUCCAGACUCCUACGGGAGGCAGCAGUGGGGAAUUUUGGACAAUGGGCGAAAGCCUGAUCCAGCCACUCCGCGUGCAGGAUGAAGGCCCUCGGGUUGUAAACUGCUUUUGUACAGAACGAAAAGGUUUCUACUAAUACUAGGAGCUCAUGACGGUACUGUAAGAAUAAGCACCGGCUAACUACGUGCCAGCAGCCGCGGUAA